GCCGGCUGCCUCCUCCGCCCUCCGGCCCGGGGGAAGCAGGGACAGCGCCCGCGUGAGGCGCCGGCCGGCGGAAGGGGCAGUACUUCUGGCCGCCAGCGGGCUGGGCAACCGGGCACGUCGCCGCGGAGAGGCCGCCAGGGACAAGGGGCCGCUUUCUGUCUCCACUUGUUCUUUCCUGCUGCGCGUCCCCCAGCAGCCCCGGGUUUUUAUGUUUUAGCGAAUGGAGAAGGCAAGGGGCAGGGGUGACAACGUCCAACUUUUCGUUUCUCCUCGGGGCUCCAGCCAGAUGGCACCGGCGGGGACCCAAGAAGUAAACGGGGUCAGGACACGGGCGUGUAGAGAGCCCUCGCCAGCAGCGGGCCUGAUGCCUGGUCCAGGGCGCCAGGAGGGGACAGGAAUCCGGGUCUGGGCGGAGGCCAGCCACGGCGCGUUCGGACAAUUUGUGACAUUAGCAGCAGAUCCUGAUGAUGACAAUGACGAUGAUGAUGAUGAUGAUGAUGAUAGCUCACUUUGAUUUCUUACCAGUGUCAGUCAUGAUGUUCUUUACUUCCAUGAUCUUCAGCACCACCGUGACCAUCAGGUUACUACAAGAUAUUGAAUGCAGUUCCCUGUCCUAUACAGAAGAAACUUGUUUAUCUAUUUUAUAUAUAGUAGUUAGUAUCUGCAAAUUUCGAGCUCGCAAAUUAUCCCCUUCCACCCCCUGUCUCCCCUGGUAACCAUAAGUUUGUUUUCUAUGUCUGUGAGUUUGUUUCUAUUUUGUAAAUAAGUUCAUUUGUGUCCUUUUUUUUUUUUAAGAUAUGACAUAUGAGUGAUAUCAUAUGGUAUUUUUCUUUCUCUUUCUGGUUGAUUUCACUUAGAAUGAUGAUCUUCAUGUCCAUCUAUGUUGCUGCAAAUGGCAUUAUUUUACUCUUUUUAUGGCUGAGUAGUAUUUUGUUGUAUAAAUAUACCACAACUUCUUUUUUCAGUCAUCUGUUGGACAUUUUAGGUUGUUUUCAUGUCUUGGCUAUUGUAAAUAGUGCUGCUGUGAACAUCAGGGUGUACAUAUCUUUUCAAAUUAAGAGUUCCCUCUGGAUAUAUGCCCAGAAGUGGGAUUGUUGGAUCAUAUGGUAAGUCUAUUUUAAGUUUUUUGAGGAAUCUCCAUAUUGUUUUCCAUAAUGGCCACACCAAACUACAUUCCCACCAACAGUGUAGGAGGGUUCCCUUUUCUCCACACCCUCUCCAGCAUUUAUCAUUUGUGGACUUUUGAAUGAUGGCCAUUCUGACCAGUGUGAGGUGAUAGCUCGUUGUACUUUGGAUUUGCAUUUCUCUGAUAAUUAGCAAUAUUGAACAUUUUUUUUACGUGCCUGUUGGCCAUUUGUAUGUCUUCAUUGGAGAAUUGCCUGUUUAGUUCUUCUGCCUGUUAUUGUCGUCAUUAAAUUGUAUCAGCUAUUUAUAUAUUCUGGAGAUUAAGCCCUUGUCAGUCACAUCAUUUGCAAAUAUUUUCUUCUAGUCUGUAGGUUGUCAUUUUCCUUUGCUUAUGGUUUCCCUUGCUGUGCAAAAGCUUGUAAGUUUAAUAAGGCCUCAUUUGUUUAUUUUUGCUUUUAUUCCUAUUGCCUGGGUAGACUGCCCUAGGAGAACAUUGCUAAGAUUGAUGUCAGAAAAUGUUUUGCCUAUGUUUUCUUCUAGCAGGUCUAUAGUGUCUUGUCUUAUGUUUAAGUCUUUAAGCCAUUUUGAGUUUAUUUUUGUGUAUAGUGUGAGGGAGUGUUCUAAGUGCAUUGAUUUACAUGCAGCUGCCCAGUUUUCCCAACACCACCUGCUGAAGAGACUGCCCUUUCUCCAUUGUGUAUUCUUGCCUCCUUUAUGAAAGAUUAAUUGACCAAAAGUCUGUGGGUUUAUUUGUGGGCUCUCUAUUCUGUUCCACUGAUCCAUAUGUCUGUUUUUGUGUCAAUUCCAUGCUGUUCUGAUUACUAUAGCUCUGUAGUAUUGUCUGAAGUCUGAGAGGGUUAUUCCUCCAGCUUCAUUCUUUUUCUUCAGGAUUGCUUUGGCAAUUCUGGGUCUUUUGUGAUUUCAUAUAAAUUUUAGGAUUUUUUUUUUAGUUCUGUGAAAAAUGUCCUGGGUAAUUUGAUAGGGAUCUCAUUAAAUCUGUAGAUUGCUUUGGGUAAUAUGGCCAUUUUAACAAUGUUAAUUCUUCCAAUCUAAGAGCAUGGGUUAUCUUUCCAUUUCUUUAAAUCAUCUUUAAUUUCCUUAAUCCAUGUUUUGUUCUCCACAUAUAAGUCUUUCACCUCUUGGUCAGAUUUACUCCUAAGUAUUUUUUUUAAUGCAAUUUUAAAAGGGAUUAUUUCUUUACUUUCCUUUUCUGAUAUUUCAUUGUUAGUAUAAAGAAAUGCAACUGAUUUCUGUAUGUUAAUCUUGUAUCCUGCUACCUUGCUGAAUUCUUUUAUCAGCCCUGGUAGUUUUUAUAUGGAGCCUUUAGGGUUUUCUAUAUAUGGUAUCAUGUCAUCUGCAUAUAGUGACAAUUUUCCCUUUUCUCUUCCAAUUUGGAUCCCUUUUAUGUCUUGUCUGAUUGCUGUGGCUAGGACUUCCAAUACUAUGCUGAAUAGAAGUGAUAAGAGUGGGCAUCCUGGUCUUGUUCCAGAUUUUAUGGGGAAGGCUUUCAGUCUUUCACCGUUGUGUAUUAUGUUGGCUGUGGGUUUGUUAUAAAUAGCUUUUAUUAUGUUGAGAUAUGUUCCCUCUAUACCCACUUUGGUAAGAGUUUUAUCAUAAAUGGGUGUUGAAUUUUAUCACAUGCUUUUUCUGCAUCGAUUGAGAUGAUUGUGUGGUUUUUGUCCUUUCUCUUGUUGAUGUGGUGUAUCACGCUGAUUGAUUUGUGUAUGUUGAACCGUCCUUGUGUCCCUGGAAUGAAUCCAACUUGAUCAUAAUAUAUGAUCUUUAUUGUCUUUUUUUAUGUGUUGUUGGAUUCUGUUUGCUAAUAUUUUGUUGAGGAUUUUCCAUCUAUGUUUAUCAACAAUAUUGGCCUAUAAUUUUCUUUUUUGAUAGUGUCUUUAUAUGGUUUUGAUAUUAGAGUGACGGUGGCUUCGCAGAAUGAAUUUUGGGAGUAUUCCCUCCUCUUCAAUCUUUUGGAAAAGUUUGAGAAGGAUUUGUAUGAGUUUUUCUUUGUAUGUUUGGUAGAAUUCCCCAGUGAAGCCACCUGGUCCUGGACUUUUGUCUGCAGGGAAGUUUUUUAUUUCUGAUCCUGUUUUACUUCCUAGUAAUGGGUCUGUUCAAAUUAUCUAUUUCUUCUUGAUUCAAUUUUGGUGGACUGUAUGUUUCUAGGAACUUUGUCCAUUUCUUCUGGGUUGUCCAAUUUGUUGCCAUAUAGUUGUUCAUAGUAUCUCUUAUGGGUUUUGUAUUUAUGUGAUGUUGGUUGUUAAUUUUUUUUAAUGGAAACACUGGGGAUUGAACCCAGGAUCUUGUGCAUGCUAAGCAUGCACUCUACCACUGAGCAAUACCCUCCCCCUGAGAAUAUUUAAUUUUAAUUAAAACAUACAUACAUGCAUAAAUCUUAAGUGAAUUGUCACAGAACAGGCACACCUGUACAGCCACCACCCAGGUAGAGAAAUAAUAGAACUUUACUGCCAUCACUGAAGUUCUCCCUCAUGCUUCUCCCAAUCACUGUCCUCUCUCCCCCCAAGGGUAACCUCUCUUCUGACUUCUAAAACCAUAGCUUAGUUUUGCCUAGGUUCUUUUUGUGUCUACAUAAAUAAAAUCAUGCAGCCUGUAACUCUUUUUCCUCCUGGCUUCUUUUGCUCAAUAUUAUGUUUAUGAGAUUCAGCCAUGUUGCUCAGAAAAGCUGUAGCUCAUUAGUUUUUGUUGCUAUAUAGUGUUCCAUUGUAUGUAGACAUCACAGUUUAUAUACAAAUUCAACACUGACGGAUAUUUGACUCAUUUCUAGGUUAUUACCAGAAAUUCUUCUGUGAAUGUUAUUGUAUGUGUCCUUUGGUAAACACAUGCACACAUUUCUGUUGGGUAUACACUUAGGUGUAAGUUGCUGGGUCAUAGGGUAUGCAUGUGUUCAACUUGGACCAGUAAUGCCAAACCUGUUUUUAAAGUGGUCAUACUAACUUACAUUUGCACUAGCAGCAUCAGAGCUCUCCUUGCUUCACAUCCUCCCUACAGUUAGUAUUAUCAGGCUUUUUAACUUCAGCCAUUUUGGUGACUGUAUAUAUAUAUAUAUGGAGGUAUAU